CAGGCUUUCCUUCGGGACGUAGUGACAGGUGCUGCAUGGCUGUCGUCAGCUCGUGUCGUGAGAUGUUCGGUUAAGUCCGGCAACGAGCGCAACCCACAUUCCUAGUUGCCAGCAGUUCGGCUGGGCACUCUAUGGAAACUGCCCGUGAUAAGCGGGAGGAAGGUGUGGAUGACGUCAAGUCCUCAUGGCCCUUACGGGUUGGGCUACACACGUGCUACAAUGGCAACUACAGUGAGUUAAUCUCCAAAAGUUGUCUCAGUUCGGAUUGGGGUCUGCAACUCGACCCCAUGAAGUCGGAAUCGUUAGUAAUCGUGAAUCAGAAUGUCACGGUGAAUACGUUCCCGGGUCUUGUACACACCG
rnacentral:rRNA from 1 species